rnacentral:lncRNA from 1 species
UACGCCCGACUGCGUGUUAUUUCUGCGAAUAAGAACGCAACCUUUGGAGGUGAAGACGACUGUCGGCUGGAUUGAAUUGGAAUCGUGUUUGUGAUGAUGCGUUUAUUUCUGGAAAUACGCGGUCUCCGCUGCUUUUGCUUUUUGUCGGCAGAGGUUUGGGUUCUUCUCUAACGGUCAGGAUAAAGGCCUGUAGGCGACGCUGCGCGAGCGAGAAGCUCGCCCGCGGCUGCCCGGGCGCCCCCCUCUAGGUGUGGGUGGAGCCGAGCGCGCGGGGAGAACCGCCGGCCCCGACUCAGCCACCGGUGACUGCGGGCGACCCGCGGGCCUGCGGCCAGCUGAUUUCAAACAUCGUUUUCCUCUUUAGGUUCGGAAAACUGAGGCGCUGGACAAGGCUGGAAUACAAUAUGUGAUUAUACGUACAGUACUAUGGUUGUUGUAGUUUUUAAAUUGUAAAACAAGAAGUAACCAUUGUUCCACCGUUCUCUAUUAAGUUUGUGUAAAUUAAAAAGGGGCUAUUUUCGGUAAAAAGUGCAGUAGACGAAGUCUUGCUCUGUCACCCAGGCUGGAGUGCAGUGGUGCAAUCUCGGCUCACUGCAAGCUCCGCCUCCCGGUUCACGCCAUGCUUCUGCCUCAGCCUCCCCAGUACCUGGGACUACAGGCGCCCACCACCACGCCCGGCUAAUUUUUUGUACUUUUAGUAGAGAUGGGGUUUCACCGUGUUAGCCAGGAUGGUCUCCAUCUCCUGACCUCGUGAUCCCCCGGCCUCGGCCUCCCAAAGUGUUGGGAUUACAGGCGUGAGCCACUGUGCCUGGCCUUACUGUUUAUGUUUUCAUGCAUCUAUACCUUAUGUUACUAAAUCAAAGUGACCAGUUCCACAUUAUACUACAAGUUUCACUGUGUAAUGCAUAAGAAUUACACAGAGGGAAGGGCCUCAAAAAAUGCACUUCUGAAGUAUUUUAAUGUAAAAUUAUUUAAGACCAUAAAGUUUCAUGAAAGCCUAAUCUUUCUGGAACCUACACAUACUCUGCAUGUGAACCAGAGUUAAACUAGUCAAGUAUUUUAAUACUGAACUAAUCUGGAAAAACAUCAUUUAAAAAAUUACUGUAUUUAUGAAGGAAGAAUAUAAAAUCUGUUAAAAACUUAAAACAUCUAAAAUAGGUAUGAAGAGAGGCUUAUGGUGCUCAUUUUAACAGCAUUCUUGAGUAGGUUACCUUGCAGUCAAAGCAUCUGCUCCAGACCAGUGUUUUAAACUGUGGAUUAU